CUAAGACACAUAAGUCAAAACCCACCUGCUUUCUUAUAACAAGGGAAAUCGUUGAUGAGAAUUUCUUCUAAGAAAUGAAAAAGACAUAUCUUUAUGUGUGGAUGUUUCAUAGAUAUUUUUCUUUUCUCGAAACGCCCAAUUAAUGUUUGUCUCAACCAAGAAAGGAUUGCACAACCACGAAAUAUAAAUAGACAAGGCAUUGGUUGAGCGGUGCCGUCAACCCAUGCUUUGAAACGUCAACAGAAUUUUGGAAUUAAUUCUUAAUUUUUUAACAAGCGUCUUUUGGUUUUUUUCAGAAAAUGAUAAAGAUAAUCAUUGUCGAUGAAUGCUUGAAAACUCUGCACGAGACAUUCUUUAAUACUGAAAUACAUGUAGACAUCACCGAACCUCGCGCUUUUUCUAUUUUACCCAUUUCCAAAAUCAAUAAAACUUUGGUGUUUCUUCUUGAUAUAUUUUCCAAUCAAAAAACUAUUAUCCAAUAUCUCCAGAUGACAGCCUAAGAAUAAAAUUCUGAUUUAGAGAUGC